CGUCGGAGCGGGGGAAAUCCGGCCGUCGAUCCGUCGGACAGCCCCUGCUGUCGCGUCGCUGCUCCGUCGCCGCCAAAUCCGUCUGCCGUCGCUGCUGGGAGGUGUCGCCGGGUCAGGCUGGUGCUGCCGCCGCUCCGUCGGUGGUCGUGCAGCCCCGAAACCACCCCGAAACAGACCCGAUUCCCUCCGAACAGCCCCAAAACAUCCCGGAACCAACCCGUUCAGCCCCGCAAGACCCCGAUGAUUACGGAGGAUGAAUAUCUCAUUACGGAGGAUGAAGAUAUCUGUAGGAUCUUUAUUUAGUAAUUGAAUUAAUAUCAAGGAGAAUCUUUAAUUCACGGUCCAUUGUAUUUUAUUUUAAAUUGUGUAGUACAUAAUUUAUUUAUCACGGACUGGACCUUUAUAUUAUUGUCCAAUUAUUCGAUCCAGUACGCAAAUUGAGUUCAAUAAAUAUAUUCCUCACGGAAAGGAAUUAUUUAAA